rnacentral:rRNA from 1 species
UACAGAGGGUGCAAGCGUUAAUCGGAAUUACUGGGCGUAAAGCGUGCGUAGGUGGACGUUUAAGUCGAAUGUGAAAGCCCCGGGCUUAACCUGGGAACUGCAUCCGAUACUGGACAUCUAGAGUAUGGUAGAGGAAAGUGGAAUUCCCGGUGUAGCGGUGAAAUGCGUAGAUAUCGGGAGGAACAUCAGUGGCGAAGGCGACUUUCUGGACCAAUACUGACACUGAGGCACGAAAGCGUGGGGAGCAAACAGG